rnacentral:snRNA from 1 species
GGAUGUGAAGGAGAUGUGGCUGCCACAUCUGUCACCCCAUUGAUCGCAGGGUUGAUUUGACUUGCUAGGUGGGUGUCCCCUUCCUCCCUCAAUGCUCUAUGUGUGUCCCUCCUGAAGCUCAAAGAGGACAACCAUUCCCAAUAGAGGAGGACCUUUCCUUGGUCAGGGACAUAGGAGUAGUUCUCCUGAUGCAGCCUCGAAACAACCUCGCAAAACUACCAGGAAAAGGUAUUCUCACACCAGUGCAGCUUUGGAGACAUUGUCCUUGUGACAUAUGU